rnacentral:rRNA from 1 species
UACAGAGGGUGCGAGCGUUGUCCGGAAUCACUGGGCGUAAAGGGCGCGUAGGCGGCUUUUCAAGCGUGUGGUGAAAGCUCGGGGCUCAACCCCGAGUCGGCCAUGCGAACUGGGAGGCUUGAGCACGGUAGAGGCACAUGGAAUUCCGGGUGUAGCGGUGGAAUGCGUAGAGAUCCGGAGGAACACCGGUGGCGAAGGCGGUGUGCUGGGCCGUAGCUGACGCUGAUGCGCG